AACGCACAUUGCGCCCAUUAGUAUUCUAGUGGGCAUGCCUGUUCGAGCGUCAUUUCAACCCUCAAGCCCUAGUUGCUUGGUGUUGGGAGUUUACCUGCGGGUAAUUCCUGAAAAGCAUCGGCGGAGUCGUGUUGGCCCCAAGCGUAGUAAUUUUUCUCGCUUCAGGUGGUUCCAGCGCUGGCGUCCAGCCGCUAAACCCCCUAUUCUUUAGUGGUUGACCUCGGAUCAGGUAGGAAUACCCGCUGAACUUAA
rnacentral:misc_RNA from 1 species